AGAUCCGCCCCAACCACCUUGAAAGUAAGAGGUGCUUGCUUCCCUGCUAUCUCUCGUUCCCUGGUGACCUAGGAUGGAGGACGGCCCUUCCCCGCUUGUUGCGCCUGCGCACCCUCUCCGCUCCCCAUGUGUUUUCUAUCUAUGUAGACAAUCUGGGGAUUUUCUCACAUUCUGUUUGUUACAGAUAUUGUCCCACAGAACAACUAGCUGCAAACCAGUUCUUGAUGCAAACCAGUUGGAGGAACAUGGAAGCCACAUGCGGAAGAUGGAGGAACCACCAAAUAGAAAUUUCCUGCCAACUUAAUCACUGCUUGCGGGAGAGCCACCUAUUCACUGGCCAUGCCUGACCUGUUUUACACUUAACAAGAGCAAGAUAUUACAUUAAGUGACUGGGAGUUUGUGGUUUAUCUGUUGUAGCAAGUAUCAUUGCAAUAAUUACUACAGUUAACAUGAUAAAAGAGGCUCAGUGUUGUCCAAUUAAUGAACUGCCAUCCCUGAACAGCAGCCUGUAUUUUAAAACUUAGGAUCUACAAUAUCUGGACUACAUUAGAUCUGGUGGUUGUUACGUUCAUCUUGAACCAAAUCACUUGCGUGUCAGGGGUAGCUUCUCCUCUGUGGAUUGGUCAGCAUGCAGCAUGAACAAACCGUCUCUUUGUUCUGUAACAAGCUUAACAUUUCCACACAGGGAUCACAAUCAUAUGCUUAUUUCAGUAGUUUUACUGAGAUCCUGAAAUUCUUCUCCUCUUUGUCUUGCAAGAGGUUUCUUGGGGAAAUAAAUACUCCCUCCAAUAAUUCAAAGGACUUACUGAGCUCCUGAAAGAAUUGGACGAAGCUGAUAUGAUGUCAACCAUUCUACAUCAAGUACUGGCUAUUCUACGAGAGGAUUCAAAAAAACAAAUUUGUCUGAGCACCACACACUAUUGACCUUCAUAUGGAAAAGCAAUUUUGUAACUAAUAUUUUUCAAAAUUGAUAAUAAACAAACAAGCAAAAAUACUUUAAUGUCCCAUGAUUCAAAACUUUAACAGGAAUUUAUAAUCUUAAACAAUACAAAAAGUUUUACAAAUAAUUUUAAUACUAUGUUAUUCACAGUUCAGGGGAAGAUGUGCAACAUAAUUAGAACAGUGCAGAAUACAGCAAUUGUAGAAAACGACACAAGUGAGAGAAAAAAUAUGAUGUAGGGAGAGGCAGAUUGAAGUAUGGGCUAUGAGAUACAACCUUAACGAAGAAAAGAGAAAAUGAUAGGUAAACAGUAAAAGCAUAGUGGACAAUGAAGGUGUGGAAUUGGUAUCGAAGUGAAAAAAUGAGCAAAAUACAGAGAAAGCAGUUCACUGCACUUGUACAUGGAAUAUGCUUAAGCCAAAUGUUUCUUGUCACAGCUGAUCUCCAUUUGGACUGCAAACUACAAAGUAAUUUAUCACCCAUUAUCAUUGAUCUGUAAAGAGUCAAGAUCAGACUAAUUUUUGUUCAUAAGUCUUCAACUACUUUUUUAAUUUAAAAAAGUCUACAAAAUCUCUAUACUGAGCAGGACAGGCUAAGCUAUCCAUCAGGGCAGAGACUAUUCUUGAAUUUUGCUCCUGGUCAAAGACAGGCUUCUUCCGCUUCAUCCUGUACCCAUGGAGCCAUGACACUUGUUUCAGGGAUGUGGCUUAGUUUGACAUCAGUCAGACCUUCACGACAUGGAGGUGUGAGAGAACACUAGAAAAUCUCUCCGACACAUUUCCCCUGAAACAACCAAGAGAAUGCAGAAACUCUUAUUUUAUGAAAUUAUAUUAUAAUUGCAUGUGCUUUAUAUGAUACUGUUAAAAAGUUAUUAAAUAUUAAUUCUCCAGAGCUGUUUCUGAGGGAAAGAUUUUUUAAUGGCAUUCCCAGGAUGUAUUGUAAUGCUUCCUUGUUUGUGUAUUUGAGUCUAUUUUUAGAAGAGAUUCUAAGUGGAAAUUAACUUAGAAAAUCUUUAAAAUAUUCCGCGUUUCACUGAGGCCAUGCUCACCCCUGGAGAAUGUUCUAAAAGAAUAAAAAAGAAGGAAGAGGAGACAUCCAUAUAAAUCAACUGAUAAAAGUUCUUUUCUUGAAGACUCUAAUUAGAGACAAGAAGAAGAAAGACUAAAACAAUAAUUGCCCUGAAAAAUGGAAAAAUAAUGUUGUGUCAAUUACGAAACAAAAGCAAGGCUUUUAGAAUUAUAUCUAUAUCUGAUAAAAAUUCCUCCCUACCUUUUUCCUUAGUGUUAUUCAAUCAAAUUAUUUGGGAAAUUAAUAUCAGAACUCAUUAUGUCCAUUAUGGAAACUUUAUUAUUUGUAAAUUGUAUCACUUAUACAACUAUGUAGAAUAAAUUUUGUGUAGUUCUGCAAACAAGAUGUGAGUUCAGGUAUUCACAUCAAACUAUUUUGAAAUUUUUAUAAGGCUCACAAAGAAUAGGAGUGUGUGUGCUUUAUGUGUGUAACUAAUAUUUCACUUACGCAGUUUUCUAUUACAUAAUUUCUCUCACUUAUGUAUGUAUUUAUUUCUUUGUCCAUAAUACGUGAACCCUCUUUAGCCAGCAUUACUAAGCUUCUCCUUCACCCUCACGUUUCACACAUGCAAAGUCAGUGCCCAUUAUUCAUCAUCCUCAAUAGUAAAUUCCCAAACAAUUUUAAAUUUUAUUUCGAAUUUAACGGUCAACUGUUGGAGGAGGUCAUCAAGAAGAUGUGACUGCCCAUGGACUGCAAGCUGGACCCAGGCAAUUGGAGGCUCCCCACCUCUCCCCUGUCUUUGGAAAGUGUGUUCUACUUGCCUUCCCUGCUCCAGGAAGUUACCCCAAGGAUACAGCCUUGAGAUAGAAAAUGUGGUUUUGAGACUAUCUGGAUUGGGUAUAUGACUGAACUCAGUUACGUCCCUACAUCAAUUUUUAAUAUUCUGGUGGGCAGAUGUGGACAUCACCUGGUCUUGCAGCUGCCUGUGACAAGCCUUGUAAGUAAAUUUCCUUGCUUACUAAACCUUCCACCUACCAAUCUGGAAUGGUCAACCUCUUGCUUGGGUCUCUCUCUGCCCUCCAAGUAUAGGGGCCAAUUUCAGAUUACACUCAGGAAGCUCCUAAAGAGGUUGCAAGCCAACAUCAACAUCAAUUCAUUAUUCCAGUGUUAACGUUUAUAUUUGCUAAAAGGUAAGCAAUUUGAAUUCAAAUGUGGAGACUGAGGGAAAAACAUAAAAUAUCCAAUUAUAUGCAAACGUUUGCAUUCUGGUGUAUUAAAAACUUACCUGCGUGUUACUACAGACAUCUUGCAAAAUUCCAUCUCUUAUCCCAAUUAGAAUUACAGAUCAGUGUUUCUUAAAAGCAUAUAAAAAUCAUAAAUAAUUUGCUAUUAAAUUAAAUUCAGCAUUAUUUCAAAAUAAUUAUUUACCAUGAUCAAGAAAUUGAUUAUCCAAAUAAAGAUUUAUGCAAUAAUAUAUCUUAUAUUAUUACCAUAUCUCUAUAGGUUAAAUUGUUUUAAUUUGUAUUUAAUUCUGCUGUCUUCAUGUUUUUGUACAUUGCCUUUCUUAAGCUCAAACACCCUUAAACCCUGAUUUUCACUAUUUGCAUGGUAACUUCAUAAAAAGCUCUUACACAUAUUUAAAGAGCUAAUUCAUUUGCUAUUGCCUUCAACCACAUCAUCUUAAACACUUCUGACUCAAGUCCUGGAAGUUAGCUGUUCUCUUCACUGUGCCUGACAUGGUUCUGGAUGUAACUAUCAUAGCAGGAGCUUUUAUAUGAUGCUGGAGUGUGAAUUUGUAUGGAACUGAAUUCAUCUUUAUGUCCAAAAACUUGUCCAGAGUAGUCUCCCUAUCGAUAUUUAGUGAAUAAACAAACGAAUACAAAUUAAAAUUUAGUACUUAAUAAAAUGUUCAAUAGAAUAGAGAGGAAGUAAUGAUGAUGCUAGGGAAGAUUAAUGAAAACAUCACAAGGCAAAAUUUGAGCUGGACAUUGAAGAAUGAGUGAGACUCUAAAGGCUAAUCUGGGAGAGACUGAGCUUCUAGGCAAUAAUACCAGAGGCAUUGCCAAGCGUGAAGACGGGGCAGUUGAUUGAAACUAAGGUGUAGACUUUGUUGUCUUUUGUAAUCUUGGCAGAAGUGAAAUUUAAAAUGAAUUUGAAAUUUGAAUAUAGAGACAAUUUGCCAAGACAACUGUGUGCCUCAGAGAAGAGUAAUAGAGAAAAAAAAUCAUCAUCUUUAGGUUCUUAGUAUAUGUUCUAUGUCUGGCCCCAGGCACUACUCAGUAGAACUAGUAUUUUGAGUAGAUUGAUUUAUCUAAUUGCUACCUUUCAUUUAUACCAUAGGUUAUUCUAAAAAAAAUUUUGGUUGUAUUCCUGGGUUUCAGAAUUUUAUUUUUAUGUAAUUGACACAAAAUUGUUUGCCUUAUAUUUACUCUUAUUUUUGUAUUUAAAGGGGAUUCCAUAUUAUUGUAGACCUACUUAACUUUUAGAAAGAUAAAAUGUAUGCACUGAUAUAGCCUAUUUUCUAUGAAGCUUAAAUUCCUACAUAAAUGAAUUAAAAUACAUACAUUUGACUUAUAUUCCACCUUUUCAUAACACACAUUUUUGAGAGUCCUAGCUAUUAAAACUAUUUAAGAAUUUAACUGAUAAUGUUUCAUCAUUUUUUUACCAUGCUAUAUCAAGAUUUAAUAGGUUUUUUUUUAAAGAAAAUCUCAGUAAAAGAGUCACCUUUAAGGUUUUCCAACUCACAAAGAAGCAGACUGAAAGUGUGCUUAAGAAAUAUUAGAGCAGAGAUCAUGGGUUGCUUUCUGUUAAAUUAAUCAUCAGUGCGUGAAUUUCUGAUAGCUAAAAGAGGUCAAGAGAAUCAGAGGGAAAUUAAAAAAUACUCAAAGCUAAAAUAAAAGCUGUUGAUUUCUUCCCCUUGAAAAAUCACAGUUACAUUUUUGUCACAACCUUUUUAUUAUUUUUAAGAGCAGAAAUUAGCAACAUUAGCAUUAGUUGAAUGGUAUGCUAUAAAUGUGACAUUGAUAAGACUUUUUCUGAAGAGUAAAAAUAUUCAGUUGGGUCUUCUCUCCUUUUCUUUCUUGUUGUGCCUUCAGCCUUCUUUUCUUCAUUUGAUAAAGAUUUGAAGUAUGUGAAUAUUUCCAUGGGAACAGAAUUCCUUCAGCAAAUGAAUGUAAUGGAUGGAGCAAGAACAACACUCUUCUUGAACCACAAAGUGGAAGACACAAGUUGAAAGUGGUGGAUCAAGAAGAUGAAAGGACCUUGAGUCCUGCAAAAUAAUCAUGACAGGGAUAAUCAUGACAGGUUUGAAUUCACUAUGUUUAUAUAAAGAGCAAUAAAUAUUUGCCCUGCUUAAGCC
ensembl:lncRNA